CGCUUUCGAUAGGAUUAUAGAAUCCAACGGAAAAAGUUUAAUGGCUACCGAUGUAAUUGCAAAUGGCUGACAUGACGAUAGAGGAUGGGCCUUGAUUUCGCAUGCCCAAAACUAAUAGUUCUAAAAAUGUCGUGUAAUAUUGACACGUGCUAAUUUUAAUGGUGUUUCUUAUUGAAAUUAUUGUCACUAUUGUACGUGAAUUAAACUUAAGUGGGGAGAAUUACAUAAUAAAACUUCUCUAUUAAAAAGUAAAAUAAAA